GACGAACCGUACGAACGUUAUUCGGAAUUACUGGGCUUAAAGGGUGCGUAGGCGGCGCAGUAAGUUGGGUGUGAAAUCCCUCGGCUUAACCGAGGAAUUGCGCCCAAAACUACUGUGCUCGAGGGAGAUAGAGGUGAGCGGAACUUAGGGUGGAGCGGUGAAAUGCGUUGAUAUCCUAAGGAACACCGGUGGCGAAGGCGGCGACCUGGUCCGAUACUGACGCUGAGGCGCGAAAGCGUGGGGAGCAAACAGG
rnacentral:rRNA from 1 species